UAGCGGUUGAAGUGGAAUUCUUUCUCCAGCUCGAGAGCCUGCUGGCGGGUGUAGGCAGUGCGAGACCUCUUGGGCACUCCUCCAUUAUCUGGCCUCCAAAACGCAUGUAGCCAAGACCACCUGAGAGCCUAUCUAUCAACAUAAUAUCCAAGAAGCUGGCUGCGGAUGACACUGAACUUGGCCUAAAGCGAGCUCUGCUGGUGGCUGGAGGAUGCAGAUUUAUCUUGCUGCUAUGGCUGACCUCGCGGUGAACCGCGCGCUGGGGAUGGUUCUUUUUUUCUGCCUGGCAUUGUCUGCCUUGCUGUGCAACGCAUAAAGGACCCCGAUUUGGACAUUUUAAUUGUGUAACAAUGGUGUAAUUUUCUCCCCAGACGUCAAAAUGAUAAUAGCAUAGAAUAAUGGUUUUACUUAUAUUUUCUACACCACAAACUGUAAUGGAAAUAAAGUUACAUUUCGUUG